AGACACAGAGGUCAAAUAACUUUAAUCUUUAAAAUGCUCCUUUAAAAUUUGGGCGAUGACAGGAUCACAUAUUACUACUUCACUUCAGUGUGUGACCACACAAAGUGGGUGAGAGGGGAUGGGCUACAUGCAGUCAUGAGUUGGUUGAAAAGUAAUUUUGAACUCUGCUAAAUUGCAGGAUCUGCCCCAGGUUUCUGUAGCCCGAAGCGUGUGGGAGCACUCACCCAUUUCCUCAUUUUCAGGCAAACAUAGGAAGUAAACUUCAUCAUCAUUCCAUUCCCUUUGAUCAAUCACACAAUACAGAAGAAACACAAGCCAAGAGGCCCAUCCAGCCAAAUAUUACCUCAGUUUCCAUGUUCAAAUUAUGAGUCAGCAUAUUUUGUCCCAAGGGGGAACAAGGCCAGACCACAAUAUUGGGAACUACUUUCUGGAACCAAGUGGUAGUUUUACCAUUGAUGUUAGCUUCUCUAUACUUCCUUGUAUGUGCCCAUUCCCCUUCUCCAGGAGUUAAAAGAACUAUGUCUCCCUUGGAUACCAAUACAAAGUUCAGCAGAAAGAUAAUGAGAAGUAACAAAAAUAUCAAACAGCAAAAAGUAUUUUACACUAAAGCAUACAUUGCAGAAAAUUGAUAUUAUUUUUAUUCAGAUCUUGGGAAUGUAUGGGGUAUAGGGCUAAAGCAGCAGAGAAAUCCUAGGGUAAUUUAUUUGCAGACAAACUAUAUAAAAUGUAAUAC